GGCAGUUCUCAGGUAUGCACCCUGAAUUGGGCUCCCUUCUCUCUGGUUCUGGGUGCGCCACCCAAGAACUGCA
rfam:Myotis davidii contig192357, whole genome shotgun sequence.